ensembl:lncRNA
AUGGAUUUUUUGAUGGCAGAGCCAACUUAUAAACUUCUUAUCUUUUUAUGCAUGAUACGAGGAAUGUACGGAGUGCUUAUACAUUAUGAUGUGAACGUAAAUGCUGUGGAGGGACAGAACGUCAGCCUGCAGUGCAUUGUGGGAGAGGAGCAUGAAGUCACAAUUAUCCAGCUGGAAUGGAUUAAACAGCAAAAAGAAAAUGAGAAGAUCGAUCAGAAGAUUGUUGUGUUCCAUCCUGGGUACCCAACAUAUUAUAUUAAAUCCGGUUCUCUUCUGGAGACAGUGACCAGUUCAAAAACUGGGAAGCUGCAGGGCUCAAUCCUGACCCUGUAUAAAGUUGCAGUGAAUGAUGGUGGAAACUAUAUUUGCGAAAUUACAUCUUAUCCUAAUGGCUCAAUUAAAAGAACCACAAAGCUCCAAGUCACAGAGCCUCCAGCAUCAGUGAAGAUGUCAUAUCCAUAUGGAUUCAUAAAAGAAGGAGACGACGUGAAAAUAACUUGUUCAGCUAGCCCUCCACCACUCCGUUAUAAACUUGCAAGGUCAAAGGACCAGAUAUUUUGGCUGGGAAGCUCAAACGGAGAGAUCAUUAUAUCAAACAUCACCAGAAACGACAGCGAUGUGUACAUCUGUUUACCUGAAUGGGACUCAUUAGUACAAAAUCAGCAAGGUCUCAAUGCCACCAUGGAACUGACUGUGAAUUUUCUUGAUGGCAUUGAGUGUAACACAAGCAGCCCUUUAAACGUCAGUGUUGGUGAGGAUGUGAUGAUUUCUUGUAUCGCAAAAGCAUCACAGUACUUGCAGUAUAAGUGGAUGAGGGGUGACACAACACUGUCUCUGUCAGACACUUUGUCUCUGACCUCCGUAACAUCUGACCAGUCGGGAACAUACAAUCUGACAGCUGUCUUUCUGAACAAUCAACUCCAGACAGACAUGCAGUUUUCUAUCCAUGUUCUCUCAAUGCAAAGCCAAGGAAUGACAACUUCUUGCCCAAAUCUGGUCACUUCCUAG